UACGGAGGGGGCAAGCGUUGUUCGGAAUUACUGGGCGUAAAGGGCGCGUAGGCGGCCUGUUAAGUCGAACGUGAAAUCCCCGGGCUCAACCCGGGAACUGCGUCCGAUACUGGCAGGCUUGAAUCCGGGAGAGGGAUGCGGAAUUCCAGGUGUAGCGGUGAAAUGCGUAGAUAUCUGGAGGAACACCGGUGGCGAAGGCGGCAUCCUGGACCAACACUGACGCUGAGGAGCGAAAGCCAGGGGAGCAAACGGG
rnacentral:rRNA from 1 species